rnacentral:rRNA from 1 species
UGGCGACCGGCGCACGGGUGAGUAACGCGUAUGCAACUUACCUAUCAGAGGGGGAUAGCCCGGCGAAAGUCGGAUUAAUACCCCAUGAAACAGGGGUCCCGCAUGGGAAUAUUUGUUAAAGAUUCAUCGCUGAUAGAUAGGCAUGCGUUCCAUUAGGCAGUUGGCGGGGUAACGGCCCACCAAACCGACGAUGGAUAGGGGUUCUGAGAGGAAGGUCCCCCACAUUGGUACUGAGACACGGUCCAA